GAUGAACGCUGGCGGCGUGCCUAAUACAUGCAAGUCGAGCGAACAGACGAGGAGCUUGCUCCUCUGACGUUAGCGGCGGACGGGUGAGUAACACGUGGAUAACCUACCUAUAAGACUGGGAUAACUUCGGGAAACCGGAGCUAAUACCGGAUAAUAUAUUGAACCGCAUGGUUCAAUAGUGAAAGACGGUUUUGCUGUCACUUAUAGAUGGAUCCGCGCCGCAUUAGCUAGUUGGUAAGGUAACGGCUUACCAAGGCAACGAUGCGUAGCCGACCUGGGAGGGUGGGGGGCAGAACGGGAACGGGACCGGGGACCAGCCGCCUAGGGGAGGGGCGAGAAGGAAUUCGUCGGAAGGGGGGGAAAACCGGGCGGAACAGCGCGGCGUGGGUGAUAAAGGUCUUGGGUGCGUAAACCUCUUUUAUGGGGGAAAAAAAAAUUUGAAAGAAAAUAUGCAGUUCUGGAGGGUACCUAAUAAAAAAGCACCGGCUAACUACGGG
rnacentral:rRNA from 1 species